rnacentral:rRNA from 1 species
ACGAACGCUGGCGGCGUGCCUAAUACAUGCAAGUCGCACGCUUCUUUCCUCCCGAGUGCUUGCACUCAAUUGGAAAGAGGAGUGGCGGACGGGUGAGUAACACGUGGGUAACCUACCCAUCAGAGGGGGAUAACACUUGGAAACAGGUGCUAAUACCGCAUAACAGUUUAUGCCGCAUGGCAUAAGAGUGAAAGGCGCUUUCGGGUGUCGCUGAUGGAUGGACCCGCGGUGCAUUAGCUAGUUGGUGAGGUAACGGCUCACCAAGGCCACGAUGCAUAGCCGACCUGAGAGGGUGAUCGGCCACACUGGGACUGAGACACGGCCCAGACUCCUACGGGAGGCAGCAGUAGGGAAUCUUCGGCAAAGGACGAAAGUCUGACCGAGCAACGCCGCGUGAGUGAAGAAGGUUUUCGGAUCGUAAAACUCUGUUGUUAGAGAAGAACAAGGACGUUAGUAACUGAACGUCCCCUGACGGUAUCUAACCAGAAAGCCACGGCUAACUACGUG